rnacentral:rRNA from 1 species
UCUGGGUCCACCUCCCACCCGUGUCUAUCGUACCUUGUUGCUUCGGCGGGCCCGCCGUUUCGACGGCCGCCGGGGAGGCCUUGCGCCCCCGGGCCCGCGCCCGCCGAAGACCCCAACAUGAACGCUGUUCUGAAAGUAUGCAGUCUGAGUUGAUUAUCGUAAUCAGUUAAAACUUUCAACAACGGAUCUCUUGGUUCCGGCAUCGAUGAAGAACGCAGCGAAAUGCGAUAAGUAAUGUGAAUUGCAGAAUUCAGUGAAUCAUCGAGUCUUUGAACGCACAUUGCGCCCCCUGGUAUUCCGGGGGGCAUGCCUGUCCGAGCGUCAUUGCUGCCCUCAAGCACGGCUUGUGUGUUGGGCCCCCGUCCCCCUCUCCCGGGGGACGGGCCCGAAAGGCAGCGGCGGCACCGCGUCCGGUCCUCGAGCGUAUGGGGCUUUGUCACCUGCUCUGUAGGCCCGGCCGGCGCCAGCMGACACCCAACUUUAUUUUUCUAAGGUUGACCUCGGAUCAGGUAGGGAUACCCGCUGAACUUAAGCAUAUCAAU